rnacentral:tRNA from 1 species
GCCGCUAUAGCUCAGUGGUAGAGCACAUCAUUGGUAAUGGUGGGGUCGAAAGUUCAAUUCUUUCUAGCGGCACCA